rnacentral:rRNA from 1 species
UACGGAGGGUGCAAGCGUUAUCCGGAUUCACUGGGUUUAAAGGGUGCGUAGGCGGCCAGAUAAGUCAGUGGUGAAAGCCCGCAGCUCAACUGCGGAACUGCCAUUGAAACUGCCUGGCUUGAGUAUAAUUGAAGUGGGUGGAAUACAUCGUGUAGCGGUGAAAUGCUUAGAUAUGAUGUAGAACCCCGAUUGCGAAGGCAGCUCACUAAAUUGUAACUGACGCUGAGGCACGAAAGCGUGGGUAGCGAACAGG